rnacentral:rRNA from 1 species
GACGAACGCUGGCGGCGUGCUUAACACAUGCAAGUCGAACGGAAAGGCCCUGCUUUUGUUGGGUGCUCGAGUGGCGAACGGGUGAGUAACACGUGAGUAACCUGCCCUUGACUUUGGGAUAACUUCAGGAAACUGGGGCUAAUACCGGAUAGGAGCUCCUGCUGCAUGGUGGGGGUUGGAAAGUUUCGGCGGUUGGGGAUGGACGCGCGGCUUAUCAGCUUGUUGGUGGGGUAGUGGCUUACCAAGGCUUUGACGGGUAGCCGGCCUGAGAGGGUGACCGGCCACAUUGGGACUGAGAUACGGCGCAGACUCCUACGGGAGGCAGCAGUGGGGAAUAUUGCACAAUGGGCGGAAGCCUGAUGCAGCAACGCCGCGUGCGGGAUGACGGCCUUCGGGUUGUAAACCGCUUUCGCCUGUGACGAAGCGUGAGUGACGGUAAUGGGUAAAGAAGCACCGGCUAACUACGUG